rnacentral:rRNA from 1 species
ACGAACGCUGGCGGCGUGCUUAACACAUGCAAGUCGAACGGAAAGGCCCUGCUUUUGUGGGGUGCUCGAGUGGCGAACGGGUGAGUAACACGUGAGUAACCUGCCCUUGACUUUGGGAUAACUUCAGGAAACUGGGGCUAAUACCGGAUAGGAGCUCCUGCUGCCUGGUGGGGGUUGGAAAGUUUCGGCGGUUGGGGAUGGACUCGCGGCUUAUCAGCCUGUUGGUGGGGUAGUGGCUUACCAAGGCUUUGACGGGUAGCCGGCCUGAGAGGGUGACCGGCCACAUUGGGACUGAGAUACGGCCCAGACUCCUACGGGAGGCAGCAGUGGGGAAUAUUGCACAAUGGGCGGAAGCCUGAUGCAGCAACGCCGCGUGCGGGAUGACGGCCUUCGGGUUGUAAACCGCUUUCGCCUGUGACGAAGCGUGAGUGACGGUAAUGGGUAAAGAAGCACCGGCUAACUACGUG